rnacentral:rRNA from 1 species
GACGAACGCUGGCGGCGUGCCUAAUACAUGCAAGUAGAACGCUGAAGAGAGGAGCUUGCUCUUCUUGGAUGAGUUGCGAACGGGUGAGUAACGCGUAGGUAACCUGCCUUGUAGCGGGGGAUAACUAUUGGAAACGAUAGCUAAUACCGCAUAACAAUGGAUGACACAUGUCAUUUAUUUGAAAGGGGCAAUUGCUCCACUACAAGAUGGACCUGCGUUGUAUUAGCUAGUAGGUGAGGUAACGGCUCACCUAGGCGACGAUACAUAGCCGACCUGAGAGGAUGAUCGGCCACACUGGGACUGAGACACGGCCCAGACUCCUACGGGAGGCAGCAGUAGGGAAUCUUCGGCAAUGGGGGCAACCCUGACCGAGCAACGCCGCGUGAGUGAAGAAGGUUUUCGGAUCGUAAAGCUCUGUUGUAAGUCAAGAACGAGUGUGAGAGUGGAAAGUUCACACUGUGACGGUAGCUUACCAGAAAGGGACGGCUAACUACGUGCCAGCAGCCGCGGUAAUACGUAGGUCCCGAGCGUUGUCCGGAUUUAUUGGGCGUAAAGCGAGCGCAGGCGGUUUGAUAAGUCUGAAGUUAAAGGCUGUGGCUCAACCAUAGUUCGCUUUGGAAACUGUCAAACUUGAGUGCAGAAGGGGAGAGUGGAAUUCCAUGUGUAGCGGUGAAAUGCGUAGAUAUAUGGAGGAACACCGGUGGCGAAAGCGGCUCUCUGGUCUGUAACUGACGCUGAGGCUCGAAAGCGUGGGGAGCGAACAGGAUUAGAUACCCUGGUAGUCCACGCCGUAAACGAUGAGUGCUAGGUGUUGGAUCCUUUCCGGGAUUCAGUGCCGCAGCUAACGCAUUAAGCACUCCGCCUGGGGAGUACGACCGCAAGGUUGAAACUCAAAGGAAUUGACGGGGGCCCGCACAAGCGGUGGAGCAUGUGGUUUAAUUCGAAGCAACGCGAAGAACCUUACCAGGUCUUGACAUCCCGAUGCUAUUUCUAGAGAUAGAAAGUUACUUCGGUACAUCGGUGACAGGUGGUGCAUGGUUGUCGUCAGCUCGUGUCGUGAGAUGUUGGGUUAAGUCCCGCAACGAGCGCAACCCCUAUUGUUAGUUGCCAUCAUUCAGUUGGGCACUCUAGCGAGACUGCCGGUAAUAAACCGGAGGAAGGUGGGGAUGACGUCAAAUCAUCAUGCCCCUUAUGACCUGGGCUACACACGUGCUACAAUGGUUGGUACAACGAGUUGCGAGUCGGUGACGGCAAGCUAAUCUCUUAAAGCCAAUCUCAGUUCGGAUUGUAGGCUGCAACUCGCCUACAUGAAGUCGGAAUCGCUAGUAAUCGCGGAUCAGCACGCCGCGGUGAAUACGUUCCCGGGCCU